rnacentral:rRNA from 1 species
CCUACGGGUGGCAGCAGUGAGGAAUAUUGGUCAAUGGGCGCGAGCCUGAACCAGCCAAGUAGCGUGAAGGAUGACUGCCCUACGGGUUGUAAACUUCUUUUAUAAAGGAAUAAAGUGAGGCACGUGUGCCUUUUUGUAUGUACUUUAUGAAUAAGGAUCGGCUAAUUCCGUGCCAGCAGCCGCGGUAAUACGGAGGAUCCGAGCGUUAGCCGGAUUUAUUGGGUUUAAAGGGAGCGUAGAUGGGAUGUUAAGUUUGUUGUGAAAGUUUGCGGCUCAACCGGAACAUUGCAAUUGAUACUGGCGGGCUUGAGUACAGUUGAGGCAGGCGGAAUGCGUGGUGUAGCGGUGAAAUGCUUAGAUAUCACGAAGAACUCCGAUUGCGAAGGCAGCUUACUAAACUGCCACUGACGUUGAUGCUCGAAAGUGUGGGUAUCAAACAGGAUUAGAUACCCCGGUAGUC